AGCCCAGCCCCAGAAUUCUCAGGUGUUUUCAUUUGGUGAUCAGCACCAAACACAGAGGAUUCACCAUGGAGUUUGGGCUGAGCUGGGUUUUCCUUGUUACUAUUCUAAAAGGUGUCCAGUGUGAGGUGCAGCUUGUGGAGUCAGGGGGAGGCUUGGCAAAGCCUGGGGGUUCCCUGAGACUCACCUGUGCGGCCUCUGGAUUCACCUUCAGUGACUACUGGAUGAGCUGGGUCCGCCAGGCUCCAGGGAAGGGGUUGGAGUGGGUUGGAGAAAUUAAUCCUGAUGGGGGUAGAACAAACUACAAAGACUCCGUGAAAGGCCGAUUCGCCAUCUCCAGAGACAACGCCAAGAACACACUUUAUCUGCAAAUGAACAGCCUUAAAACCGAGGACACAGCCGUCUAUUACUGUACUAGAGACACAGUGAGUGGAGGUCAUUGUGAGCCCAGACACGAACCUUCCUGCAUGGGGGACAUGGGGCCACCAGGGGGCGCCCGGAACCCACAGAGGACAGGAGAGUUUCCAGGAGCAUGUGCAGGGGGGAGGUUUCCUGUCUCAGCUGCAGGUCGACUUGUUUUUGAGGUUGCAAUAUUUUAA